UACGGAGGGUGCAAGCGUUAUCCGGAAUCACUGGGUUUAAAGGGUGCGUAGGCGGUCUGAUAAGUCAGUCGUGAAAUCGCUGGGCUCAACCCAUGCAACUGCGAUUGAUACUGUCAGACUUGAAUCAGGUUGAGGUAGGCGGAAUGUGGCAUGUAGCGGUGAAAUGCUUAGAUAUGCCAUAGAACACCGAUUGCGAAGGCAGCUUGCUGGGCCUGAAUUGACGCUGAGGCACGAAAGCGUGGGGAGCAAACAGG
rnacentral:misc_RNA from 1 species